UACGUAGGUGGCAAGCGUUGUCCGGAUUUACUGGGCGUAAAGCGUGGGCAGGCGGACGUUUAAGUAAGAAGUGAAAGGUUGGUGCUUAACGCUGACACUGCUCCUUAUACUGGACGUCUUGAGUGGCGGAGAGGAAAGCGGAACUACACGUGUAGCGGUGAAAUGCGUUGAGAUGUGUAGGAACACCGAUGGCGAAAGCAGCUUUCUGGACGCAAACUGACGCUCAUCCACGAAAGCCAAGGUAGCGAACAGG
rnacentral:rRNA from 1 species